rnacentral:misc_RNA from 1 species
CAAGAAUAAAGUUAGUUAAUUAAAAAAGAUAAAGGCAUCACAUCCACGAAAAAAUAUAUAUGUACGUAGGACACGUGUAAGAUACCGACAACAAAGAGACUCACGGCUUUCAACAACCACUUUUCUCAAAUGAGAGACAGUAUCUACGUGUAUAUAUAUACAGACACACACUGACAUCCAGUGGCGAAGUUCGGCUCUGAUGAAAAAAAAAAAUAAAAACAUGUGGCCCACAAGCACAAAACAAAAAAUGAAAAUGCCCAUCCGCCCAAAAUUGGAGUGGAAGAGCUACCACUUACCACUUCAGACCCUUCUGCAAAACUCUAGAGUUUUGAACCCAACCCUUCUGCCAUUAAUUUCUCCGUCUCUUUAGUCUUUUAAUAGAGCUGGACUUGGCACAGCAGAAGGAAAAAAAUUUAAAACAUGGCGAUGGCAUCAAGAGAACGAAGAAAGGAAGAGAUUCUUUAAAUAAAAAAAAAAACUCUGAGGGUUUUACCCUUACAUGCGCCAGACAUAUACAUACACACCCUCCAUCGCAUAUAUAUAUAUAUGUUCUAAAGAGAUUGUCUACUGUUCUUUCUGGAAAAUAAUAUUAGAACCCCAGAAAAAGAAAGAAAAAUCUAACAUUAAGUGAAAAAGAAAAAUCCUCCAUUGCUAUCCCAAAAAGGAGAAAGGCAGUAGAUCCUUUUUCUCUUCCCCUCCCCUCAAUCUUCACCAUUAUCUUCCCCCUAAAAAACUUCCGUCAAACUUUUGACUUUGCUUCGUCCUCCGUUCUCAUGCCACAUCAAACCAAUUGAACUUAAUUGGAAAGCUGAAGAUUUAACCUCGUCAGGUUAUGAACACAAAUAUACGGAGAUCAAUGGACAUUGCAAACGACCAUUCGCACUGGCUCAACUUCCUCCCUCAAAAGUAUGGGUUCUAAUCCGAAAUGCAUGCUUCCGUCGAUAUUCAUCAUUUCUCUAAUUUCUUCUCACUGCCAAAGGGCAUGCAAUCCUCAUUCACCCAAAUUUUGUUCAGCUUUAAUUGCUCUCUCCAUAGCUUCCCGCCUGGGGCUUGCCAUGUUAAGUAAUGGAGACAUGUUUCUACUCUGCAGCAGGUUGUUUCUGCUCCGCUGGCUUCACCUGAACAGCAUGAACAUAAGGGAACCCAGGUACAAGAUGCGGCUUCCCCGAGGACUGUGCAGCGGCAAACUGAGCAUGGAUAAGACCACCACCUUUCAUAUUGCUUGCUGCUGCAGCAGCAGCAGCAGCUGCUACUGCCUUUGCAGGAUCGGUAGUGGUGGUGUUGGGAAGUGACACAGUAGAACACAACAUCCCAGCUGAGGUAACUGAUGAGCCCUGUGGCUGUUGCUGCUGAUCACUGCGGUGUCUUUGGAAAUAAAAUCCGCUUGCUACUGGCGUUGUAUGCGUUGAACUUGCAGCAUGUUGAACUUGGGCUUGCAUAUAACUGCUAUUGUAUAGCAUCUGGGCCGGCUGCAAAGUAUGCUUUGGUAGUUGCUGCUGCUGCUGUGUCAAUUGAGAUUUGGUAGCAGAGCUAGAUGUAGAGGGGGAGUUAUGGGGAUGGCCAAGAAUUGAAGGAAUAUUUUUCCCACCAACUGGAGAUGAUUUUUGUGCAGGCACUGACGAGGAGUUCUUGCCCUGCUGAGAUGACAGCGUAGAUGAUUGCGCUCCUUUGUUACUUGUGGAAGUGGAAGUUGUCCUUGGGCUCCCACCAGCACUUUUAGAAAUUGACGAAGUUGUUGGAGAGCCAACUACCACAGGAGGAGAAGGUGAUUGGGUACCAUUAGGAGCUGAUUGCCCUUGAGGUGCAGCUGAUGGUUUUGGGUUGGCUGCAAAAGAUAUCUGUGCGUGGCCUUGUGGGACACGGCCUUGCUGUUGGGAAAGGGUUUUUAGGGAUGGUGAUGCGGAGGAAAGAGAUGGGGAAGGAACUUGGGAAGGGGUGGUCCUGACAGAAUUCUUCCACUGCGGAGAAUGAGCUGGACUACUGUUGCUCUGGACAAGAAUUGGAGGAAAUCCAGAUAAUGCAUUAGGGAACUUGGCAGCCAUUGAGGAAGACGAAGAAAUGUGAUCUGUGUACACAAUUCCAUUACUUGUUGCCGGUGUUUUGCUUCGAGCAGAAGCAGUUGGGAAUUGGUGCUGCUUUUGAAGUUGAAUCAUUUGCUGCUGUUGUUGCUGCUGCUGAUUCCGCUGCAGU